CCUCUUUGUACCCUAGCUCUUUAAUCCUUUUUGUGAUUCGGAGCAUAUCAGAAUCAACUAAAGAUGAGACCGAUUUUGAUGAAAGGGCAUGAAAGGCCCUUAACGUUUUUGAAGUAUAAUAGAGAAGGUGAUCUUUUGUUCUCCUGCGCUAAAGACCACACUCCCACCGUCUGGUUCGCCGACGACGGCGAGCGUUUUGGUACUUACCGCGGUCACAACGGCGCCGUUUGGUGCUGCGAUGUCUCAAGAGAUUCGAUGCGCCUUAUUACUGGGAGUGCAGACCAGACAGCAAAGCUGUGGGAUGUUCAAACUGGAACUCAAUUGUACUCCUUUAAUUUUGAUUCGCCUGCCAGGGCUGUGGACUUCUCUGUUGGUGAUAAACUUGCUGUUAUCACCACUGAUCCUUUUAUGGAAUCGCCUUCUGCCAUUCAUGUAAAACGCAUUGCAAGAGAUCCCAGUGACCUUAAGUUUUUUUAUGCUAUUUUUUGUCUCUUUUUGUGAUGGAUGUGCUUCAUUUUCUGUGUUUCAUGUUGUUCAAAUUCACUUAAAUUUAGUAGGAUUCCGCCUUAUUUACCAUGCGAUUUGGAUGCAUACCAGUGCUGAUAUAAUGGAUUAUGCAUUGUUUUCCCUCUCCCCUACACGUUCUAUGUUUCUUUCUAAUUCAAGAAAAAUGGAGAGUGAAAUGCUCUUAUGUUUUCACUUGUUCAUGUUGUUGAAUAAAUUGUAUGCAGAUAAAUGAAGAUAUAACUAUCUGCGCAUCUAGUCUUAUAAAAACUUGAAUUGCAAAGCUGAUGAUCUUCUUAUCAUAUAAUAACACUGUAGCUGAUGAUCUUAUCAUAUAAUAAUGCUAUAGUACUUGUGAAGCAUGAAUUUUCGGUCAUCUUACAUUGGCUUUUCCAUGGACCAACGCAAAAGUUCUUUCCCGCUUUGGUCUGUUCAUUCCCAACUGAAUUUUAUAUUUUCUUUUGAUUAUUUAAUAAUUUGCAUUGCUUGUGCUGAGUUGUUAGAAUGCACUUUAGAUUCCAGGGUAGAUAAUUAGAAAUCAUUUUACAAGAUUUUUUUAGUAAAAACCUCUAUAUAGGUGUGUGUAUGUGUGUGCAAGAUUGGGGGUUUCUGAUUUUGUUUGAAGACGUAUCAAGGGUAUGACGUAGAGUUUUUAAGUUAUUAUAUUAGCGUUAAUAACAUAAGUGAUGAAAUAUAUAUGAUGCAACUUGUUCGGUUGCAUAACAGAGGCCAUCCCUAAUAUCUCAUAACUAUUUUUUAUCCAUGCCAAGCUCAGACAUCAUGCACUCUCACAAACAUGUAUUAUUGUAUCUGUAUGUAUGAAUUUAUUUAUUAUAAUAUAGAUGCCAAACUUGUUUACUUAUUAUUGGAUUUUCACAAUCCUUGUGUUGUGCUCUUUGUUGUUUAUACUAGGAAAUUUUUAUGUGUAGUUUCCUGCCUAUCUAAAUUUGUUGUUGUAUCAUUUUCAGAGACUGGUGAAUCUGUGCUUAUUCUAAGGGGACCUCAGGGAAGAAUAAACAGAGCUAUUUGGGGACCCCUGAACAAGACUAUCAUAAGUGCUGGAGAGGAUGCUGUAAUUCGCAUAUGGGAUUCUGAGACUGGAAAGCUUCUGAAAGAGUCAGAUCGGGAAAUUGGGCAUAAGAAGACAAUAACAUCACUUACAAAGUCUUCUCACUUCCUCUCUGGUUCUCUAGAUAAGUCUGCUAAGCUAUGGGACAUCAGAACAUUAACUCUCAUCAAGACAUAUGUGACAGAAUGUCCGGUCAAUGCUGUUACAAUGUCUCCUCUUCUCGAUCAUGUAAGUGUAAAUGUAUCAUCGACUAUCUUACUUAUGUGAUAUUGGAGCAAUUUUUUUCAUUAUUUUGUCACAGGUGGCAUAACAGACAAUUAUGCUGAUUAUGAAAGUUUUGAAAAUUUUCUAUUUGAAAGGCCAUUACACCCCACCCCCCUUCUCUUCCUUGUUUUUCUACUCUCCUUUAUGUCUUCAUUUUUUUUCUUGUGCUAUAUCUGGUUUGUGAGUAUGACCUUUAUCUCUGAUUAAAUAUUGUGAUGAGUAUGCUAACUUGUCUCAAUAAUGAAAAAUGGUUUAGUUGUCGAAGUAGUGGUUUGUUGGAAUACAUAUGUUGUUAUUGUUUCGAAUUUGAAUUUAUUUGAGUGAACAAUCUUUGAAGAUCAAAAUAUGUAUCCAGGUCAAAGUAAUCUGAACAUUUCCAUCUUUUAUAAUUUGGAGAUUGAAUUAUUCAUGUUAACUUAAAGUGGCUUCAAAGUCAAAUUUGUGAAUCAACCUAUGCAAGAAUGAUUGAUGGGCAGCCUUCAAGGUUCUCACAGUGGCAAUAUAUAUGUACAUGGUUUUUUCCUGGGGAUUUGACUAUGCAUAUGAAAAGAAAAAAAGAAUGCUUUCUAGAAGGAAAGUGCACGUUAUUUUUUUUUUAAUGUGCUGCGUGGUUAGGCAUUUAAGCUGGCGGAUGAGGACCGUUGUAUAGUGUAGGGGUAAGGGGGUGUGCCUGAUGCCAAGAGGUUGGAGGUUCUAGGCCCAAGGACAGCCAAUUAGUGCACAUGUGCCAAAGGGUAGGGGAUUUUCUCCAGCCUUCCUUUAUAGGAUUCACUGGUUAAUGUCUUGUAUAUUGAUUAAUAUUGGCUGCAGUCAAAUGAAUGUAGAUGACAUUAUAAGCUGAUUAAAUAUCUCAAGCAUCAUUUUAUUCCAUUUAUUUUCUUUGUUCCUUCACAUAAUUUUGCUUGGAAGCUGCCCUUUUGCUCUGCAGGUUGUGCUUGGAGGUGGUCAGGAUGCUUCAGCUGUCACUACCACUGAUCACCGUGCUGGGAAGUUUGAAGCCAAAUUUUAUGACAAGGUUAUAUUUCAUGCUCAUGACAUUUCUUUGUAAUGUGAAGGUUUAUGAUUGUUUAACUUGUUGAAUGCAUGUUUUUUGACUUUCCUUCUUUAGAUUCUUCAGGAAGAAAUUGGAGGUGUGAAAGGUCAUUUUGGACCUAUAAAUGCUUUGGCUUUCAACCCUGAUGGGAAAAGGUAUAGUUUUCUGUUAUCUUUGUAUGUUAAUAUAGUAGUUGCUGGUGCCUCAGUGAAAAAUUCGUAAAAUCAACAUGGCCACUGUUGCAUGAUAUCCUUUCAUAGAGUUUGUAGAUGAUUAUGAGUUUUGCAGUAAAACAUAUAUCAACCAAAAUCCAAGUAUGCAACGCUGAAUUUUUCCUGCAUGUUAAUCUGGAACCAUAUGUUUGCCUGAAUGAUGUUAAAGCUGACAUACUGUUAAAUGUUUUAGUUCUUAUUUAUAUUUUGCACUUACGGUUUUGUAGUUUCUCAAGUGGAGGUGAAGAUGGGUACGUGAGGUUACAUCACUUUGAUCCAGAUUGCUUCAAUAUUAAGAUUUAGAUUUGGCAUACGUAUUUGUAUUAGAAAAGGAAUCAUUUUGGGAGAAGAUAGAAAAGCAUUUUGGCAUUUUUGUGUCAGAGGAGCAUAGUGUAACAAAAUACUCUAUUUAUGCAAAUAAUAACCAUUUUAUUGUGUAAGAAUUCCAUACCUUGCAAAUUUUUCUGGGGGCAUCAGUAAAAACACAUCGUUUGCCCAAUGUAUUAUUUUUCUAUUAUUUUACAAGCUUUGGAUUGGAAUGUGUAGUUGACUUGCCUAGUUUUUGACUCAACAACUAUCAAUGAAGGGG
rnacentral:misc_RNA from 1 species